rnacentral:rRNA from 2 species
GGGCAACCUGCCCUUGAGACGGGGAUAACUCCGGGAAACCGGAGCUAAUACCGGAUAACACAUAUCUUCGCAUGAGGAUAUGUUAGAAGGUGGCUUUUAGCUACCACUCAAGGAUGGGCCCGCGGCGCAUUAGCUAGUUGGUGAGGUAACGGCUCACCAAGGCGACGAUGCGUAGCCGACCUGAGAGGGUGAUCGGCCACACUGGGACUGAGACACGGCCCAGACUCCUACGGGAGGCAGCAGUAGGGAAUCUUCCGCAAUGGACGAAAGUCUGACGGAGCAACGCCGCGUGAGUGAUGAAGGUUUUCGGAUCGUAAAGCUCUGUUGUUAGGGAAGAACAAGUACCUGUUAAAUAAGCAGGUACCUUGACGGUACCUAACCAGAAAGCCACGGCUAACUACGUGCCAGCAGCCGCGGUAAUACGUAGGUGGCAAGCGUUGUCCGGAAUUAUUGGGCGUAAAGCGCGCGCAGGCGGUUCCUUAAGUCUGAUGUGAAAGCCCACGGCUCAACCGUGGAGGGUCAUUGGAAACUGGGGAACUUGAGUGCAGAAGAGGAGAGCGGAAUUCCACGUGUAGCGGUGAAAUGCGUAGAGAUGUGGAGGAACACCAGUGGCGAAGGCGGCUCUCUGGUCUGUAACUGACGCUGAGGCGCGAAAGCGUGGGGAGCGAACAGGAUUAGAUACCCUGGUAGUCCACGCCGUAAACGAUGAGUGCUAAGUGUUAGAGGGUUUCCGCCCUUUAGUGCUGCAGCAAACGCAUUAAGCACUCCGCCUGGGGAGUACGGUCGCAAGACUGAAACUCAAAGGAAUUGACGGGACCCGCACAAGCGGUGGAGCAUGUGGUUAAUUCGAAGCAACGCGAAGAACCUUACCAGGUCUUGACAUCCUCUGCUACUUCUAGAGAUAGAAGGUUCCCUUCGGGACAGAGUGACAGGUGGUGCAUGGUUGUCGUCAGCUCGUGUCGUGAGAUGUUGGGUUAAGUCCGCAACGAGCGCAACCCUUGAUCUAGUUGCCAGCAUUUAGUUGGGCACUCUAAGGUGACUGCCGGUGACAAACCGGAGAAGGUGGGGAUGACGUCAAAUCAUCAUGCCCCUUAUGACCUGGGCUACACACGUGCUACAAUGGAUGGUACAAAGGGCUGCAAAACCG